GGCCCCAUGGCGGAAUGGUAGACGCGGGGGAUUUAAAAUCCUUUGCCUGAGAGGGCGUCCCGGUUCGAAUCCGGGUGGGGCUACCG
rnacentral:tRNA from 1 species